UACGGAGGGAGCUAGCGUUGUUCGGAAUUACUGGGCGUAAAGCGCGCGUAGGCGGCUUUGUAAGUUAGAGGUGAAAGCCCGGGGCUCAACCCCGGAACUGCCUUUAAGACUGCAUCGCUUGAAUCCAGGAGAGGUGAGUGGAAUUCCGAGUGUAGAGGUGAAAUUCGUAGAUAUUCGGAAGAACACCAGUGGCGAAGGCGGCUCACUGGACUGGUAUUGACGCUGAUGGUGCGAAAGCGUGGGGAGCAAACAGGAUUAGAAACCCCUGGGUA
rnacentral:rRNA from 1 species